AGAUUGAGGGUUGGACUAUCAAAGUAAUUUCCUUUGUUGUGACCUUCCCGCCAAAGCCUAAGUUAAUGCCCCGUUUGACUAGUCUUGCUGGCAUUAACAGCAACACCCUUUGACAGGAAUCAGGAAAGGCUCAGUAAGUGGCCAUCCGGACUGACGGUGACUGGACUGGACUGGUAUUUGUGUGCGUGUGCGUUUGUCCGAAUAAGGGAUGCGUGUGCUGGACGGUCAAACAACUUGCCUUGUAGAACCUUCGGAGCAGAUGUAGACUCUCUUCCCGUGCGCCCUGAGAACCGACAGAGACAGCAAUAUUAUUGUAAACACGCUCCGUCACACAAACGCCCUGACCCUGAUGCCGUGUCGACACAUCAUGUUUGGGACACACAUUCACGUCGCUGGAAAUUAUGGGGGGGAAACAUUUUCGUGACGUCAGAAAGUUCUCGUGAACGACCCCUCCUGACGCUGUUAUGAUUCAACUUCCGUUCAGCAACUGGUGCCAGAUUUUGAUAACAGAGUUGCCCAGUUGGUGACGUGUGGUUUACUACUGACGCGCAUGAACAUGGUGGAGCAUGAAUGUUUCACUCAAUAUAAAAGAAUCAACCAUCAUAUCACAUACUUUACUAUUGAUUGACGUUGUGAACGUCUGUUUGCAUAGACUUUGCUCAAUUGUAACCGUUGUGUACUGGUAAACCAGCUCUCGAUAAGUGUGGCCUUCUAUACAGGGGCAAUACUGUAUGUACUCCUCAUAAAUAAAAGCAAAAGGAUAGUAGGUGAUAGGCAUCAAGGAAAUAAAGGCAUGCAAUCAUGAAACUGAUCCUACUAUUGUUUAGUUCCGACUGUUUAUCGGAUAAAAAGCCCUGCUGUGAAGAACUUUGAGAUUCCCAACGCAGUGAUCUUGAACGGACGCUGUCGGGAACACGCGUCAUCACUGGCGAGCCGUUUCGUUAUCGCCAGGACGAUGAAUGCCCCUAAAGUGCCCUUGAAGGGCUGAGCUAAACAAAGCUCUAUUGAAUAUAGAAGAAUAAAAACAAAUACGUUUAUUAGACCCAAAAUUAUUUGUUUGCGUAUGGAACUUGAUCUAUUGAUUUUUGUAUUACAUUUCUUGUUCUAAGUCAAUUUCGUCACUUGAUUUAAACUGUUUUAUUUUAUUUAUUUGAUGUCCUUUAUUUGUAUUUAAUGUGUGCCGUCUGCAUUAUUCCUGUAAAGUCUGGAUCACCACAGAAUCUUGGGCCAAACCCUAUUUUAUCUGAGAUGCGAUAUAAAAUUGGAACUUCAGAAGAAAACAAUUCAAGUGGGCCUUGUUGUUCCCCCCUAAGAGCGGGACCACGUGGGGAAACGUGUGACUACGGGAGUGAAAACAAACAUUAGGUCCCCACUUGUUUGUUAAACGUGAUGGAAACAAGUGGCUGAAGGGAACUAAACGCAGUCUGCUGAGAAGAGGGCAGCAAAGGGAAGAAUAAGGCCAGAGGUUCAAAUCCACUUUACCAGGAAAAUUUAGGAAUAACAGGCGAAAAAGUGGGAAAAAGUGGUGGGACAUGAUAGUGGAACAAAGUGGUUUCUUGGAAACCGAAGGAGAGCGAAAAGAAAGAGAAAGAAUCUGGACUUGUGAUAAUGAAAGCGAGAUAAGAAAAAUUAUCUAAUCUUUCAUUUUCUAUUGUGAUUGAGUUUGGCGUCGCAUGGACAAGUAGACAAUUAAAGAUCUAAAGGAUUGAUAAAUAAAUUGAGUUAGUUCAUUUUAUAUGGUUAAACAAAGUUAAUCAAUACAUAACCAUACAUUUGUGUAUUAGUUUGUCAUUUACUCAUCUAUGAAUUUAUGAUGAAUGAGUAUGCAAUAAACACUACACGUUCAGGCUCUCUCGGGCCUGAACAGGGUAUAUGCAGGAAUCAGAGAUGAAUUUACUACCUUUUUUAUUACCUCCACAAUAUUUUUUACUACCAACACGACAUCAAGCAGCGGGGGCGGGGGGUAUGCAAAGCACCACUUACUACUAACUAUAAGCUAUACAUGUGGCACUGCCGCGGUCCCUGUAGCCCUAGUGCUGCUAAUGCUAGCGCCACAGAACAACGACAGAGAGUAGAGGUCUGCACUCCCGCGGGACGCGGGACAAAUGAAAGCUCAUUGCGGGUGCGGGCGGGGUGAUAGAGUGCACUCCCGCAAAUCAAUAUGAGGGUAAAGUAAAUCUACAAAUUAUCAUGAAGCCCUCAUCAAUAAGCAAAACCUAAUUUUCCAACAACUUUUCCUUCAUGAUCGAAGCAGCAGCUGUUUCUUUUACCGUUCAUCUUUCAUUUUUCAUUUAGACGUGCUGGUACCGACCUGCAGAGUUUUUAUUUUUUUAAUAUGCGACUGUUUCCUGUUCCAGUCACUGAGGCCUAUUUAAUGUUUUGUAUGGUUGAAAACAUGCAGGCUUACCAAUAAAUAUGUUACCAAUACUGGUAGCCGAAGGAAUUAUGUGCGCUAGGGUUGCCGCGGUGUGGACAUUUUCACACCGAGUAAUACGCUCGUGUCAACACCGGUAUUACCGGUAUAAACUUUGAAACUAUAGGUCAACCGCCAUCUUCUCCGUCAACUCUCCUCUCACACUCGGUGACAGCGGCUGGCAGCGCGCCAAUUCUCUGCGUCUUAUAACGUUCUAUAUAUAAUAGUAUAAUCUAAUUUCACGGCCAAAAGCUCUGUGCGCCUCCGGAUGGCCGUAGCGCGGGGAGCUCACGUAGGGAUUGGGCUUCGCAGGGUUUGUUUACCGGCGUUGCUAUGGUUACCGGUCUUGUAAGGAAGCACGUCAAUUCUCGGCGCGACAAUUCUCCCGCACAGAGCAGAACUGUGGCCUAUUCUACACAUUUUCGUAAUUAUAAUUAUAUUAUUCAUUUUUACUGAAUUAGUUUUUUAUUACUGAAAAAAUAAAAAUUGGUGUGGCCGGUGUGCAACACCGAGUAAACGGUGUUGGCCUCAACACCGGUAACACCGGUAAUACCGUAUACCGCGGCAACCCUAAUGUGCGCGCUCGUUUUUUUUUCCAAGCCAAUGGAAAGGCCUUUCCUGAGACAGAAAGUGAACAUCCAUCCUUGCGGGCAUUUGCGAGCGGGAGCGGGAUAUAAUAUCAUAGAUGCGGGCGGGAGCGGGACAAAAAAUUACAGUUCUUUGCGUGAACG